rnacentral:lncRNA from 1 species
AUUAUUAAAUAUCUGAUUACUUGAGAUAAACCAGCCAUCCUCUUUUUUUCAGUACUGGGCAAGAAAGGAAGAAGAAUGAAACUAUUUGUGUUAUGGAGCACAGUUUAUCAGAUAAUCCCUGCACUGGAAAGUAUUGUUUACCAGAUAUCAACAAAAUGAAAAGCUGCCCGUGACUUUCAGUGUCCUGGGAUCCAGUCAUACUCUCUCAAACCGAACAACCUGCACCAUCUUCAACUCUUCCCUUCCAGGAAGCCAGAUUAAUAUUUUGGUACGUUUAACCUUUCCAAGCAAAGUUUUCAGCAUUGGUGGCAUAGGAAUGUGGGGAGAGGUACUAUCUCACAAGCAACUAGAAUGCAUAUUCUAUUAGACAGCUUUUAUUUUCUCCAUUUUUUUUUGUUCACUCUUGUGUCUACAGUAUCAAGGACAGUGACUUCACGUAACAGCUACUCAGUAAAUAUCUGAAGGAAGGGAGGAAUAGAAAGGACAAAACUCAGACACACAAAGUCAUGGUAGUCUGAAGCAUUCAUAGCAAUGUACAAAUUUAACAUCUCAAUAGAUGAUCUGAUUACAAUCAAAUUUGGAAUCGAAAAGAUCUUUCAAUAUUAGUAGUAGAGUGGUUCUUCAGCAUAAGAGAAGUGCUCAAGCAGGGCACACUUGGAAAUAACUAUUGUCAGUUUUGCUCAAGCACAAUGACUGGAGGAUACUACUAGCAUUUAAUGCCCCAGGAGCUAAGCCUGCUAACUAUGCUGCAAUGUGUAACAAAGUCCUGUACAACGAAGACUUCUUGCACAAAUCUGGUAGCACUCCAGUUGAAAAAUGCUUAGGUAUUCCUAACCCAUCCUUAUACUUAAGUUCUCCAUAUUGAAG